rnacentral:rRNA from 1 species
AGGAAUAUUGGUCAAUGGCCGAGAGGCUGAACCAGCCAAGUCGCGUGAGGGAGGACGGCCCUACGGGUUGUAAACCUCUUUUGUCAGGGAGCAAGGGACAGGUCGUGACCUGUUGUGAGAGUACCUGAAGAAAAAGCAUCGGCUAACUCCGUGCCAGCAGCCGCGGUAAUACGGAGGAUGCGAGCGUUAUCCGGAUUUAUUGGGUUUAAAGGGUGCGCAGGCGGAGGCACAAGUCAGCGGUAAAAUCGCGGGGCUCAACCCCGCUCCGCCGUUGAAACUGUGUCCCUUGAGUGCGCGAAGGGUAGGCGGAAUGCGUGGUGUAGCGGUGAAAUGCAUAGAUAUCACGCAGAACUCCGAUCGCGAAGGCAGCCUACCGGCGCGCAACUGACGCUCAUGCACGAAAGCGUGGGUAUCGAACA